rnacentral:rRNA from 1 species
GGACGAACGCUGGCGGCGUGCCUAAUGCAUGCAAGUCGAGCGGGCUACAGUCUUCGGAUUGUAGCUUAGCGGCGAACGGGUGAGUAACACGUAGGUAAUCUACCCUUCAGAGGAGGACAACCUCAGGAAACUGAGGCUAAACCUUCAUACGUUCACUGGUAGGGGUACUGGUGAAGAAAGAGUUACCGUUGAGGUAGCUGCUGAAGGAUGAGCCUGCGGCCCAUCAGGUAGUUGGUGAGGUAACGGCUCACCAAGCCGAAGACGGGUAACCGGUCUGAGAGGAUGUCCGGUCACACUGGGACUGAGACACGGCCCAGACUCCUACGGGAGGCAGCAGCAGGGAAUCUUGGGCAAUGGGCGAAAGCCUGACCCAGCGACGCCGCGUGGAGGAAGAAGUCCUUCGGGGCGUAAACUCCUGGACUGGGGGACGAGGAAGGACGGUACCCCAGUAGAAAGGGACGGCUAACUACGUGCCAGCAGCCGCGGUAAAACGUAGGUCCCGAGCGUUGUUCGGAUUCACUGGGUGUAAAGGGCGCGUAGGUGGUUGUCUGUGUCUCAUGUGAAAACUCAGGGCUCAACUCUGAGAUGGCGUGGGAAACUAGGCAGCUAGAGGACGGUAGAGGGGAGUGGAAUUCCCGGUGUAGCGGUAAAAUGCGUAGAUAUCGGGAGGAACACCGGUGGCGAAGGCGGCUCUCUGGGCCGAUCCUGACGCUGAGGCGCGAAAGCUAGGGGAGCGAACCGGAUUAGAUACCCUGGUAGUCCCAGCCGUAAACGAUGAGUGCUAGGUGUGGGGGGCGACAAUCCUCCGUGCCGCAGUUAACGCAAUAAGCACUCCGCCUGGGGAGUACGGCCGCAAGGCUAAAACCCAAAGGAAUUGACGGGGGCCCGCACAAGCAGUGGAGCGUGUGGUUUAAUUCGAGGCAACGCGAAGAACCUUACCAGGGUUUGACAUCAUACUGCCCUCUGUAGAAAUACAGACUUCCGCUUCGGCGGACAGUAUGACAGGUGUUGCAUGGUUGUCGUCAGCUCGUGUCGUGAGAUGUUGAGUUAAGUCCCGCAACGAGCGCAACCCCUAUCCAAUGUUGCCAACAGGUAAAGCUGGGGACUCAUUGGAGACUGCCGGAGACGAUCUGGAGGAAGGUGGGGAUGGGGUCAAAUCAUCAUGGCCCUUAAGCCCUGGGCUACACACGCGCUACAAUGGUCGGUACAACGGGCAGCGAAGGAGCGAUCUGGAGCGAAUCCCAAAAAGCCGGCCCCAGUUGGAAUCGCAGGCUGAAACUCGCCUGCGUGAACACGGAAUUGCUAGUAAUCGCGAAUCAGCUACGUCGCGGUGAAUACGUUCCCGGGCCU